rnacentral:rRNA from 1 species
CAACGUUAAUCGGGGCAGGGUGAGUCGACCCCUAAGGCGAGGCCGAAAGGCGUAGUCGAUGGGAAACGGGUUAAUAUUCCCGUACUUGGUGUUACUGCGAAGGGGGGACGGAGAAGGCUAUGUUGGCCGGGCGACGGUUGUCCCGGUUUAAGCGUGUAGGUGUGUGUUCCAGGUAAAUCCGGUUCACUUUAACACUGAGGCGUGACGACGAGGCACUACGGUGCUGAAGCAACAAAUGCCCUGCUUCCAGGAAAAGCCUCUAAGCAUCAGGUAACAUCAAAUCGUACCCCAAACCGACACAGGUGGUCAGGUAGAGAAUACCAAGGCGCUUGAGAGAACUCGGGUGAAGGAACUAGGCAAAAUGGUGCCGUAACUUCGGGAGAAGGCACGCUGACAC